GGCUGGGACAGGGAAGCCUCAUACUGUGCCUGGAGAGACAGAGAGUGUGAAAGGAAUCCAGACUGGAGGAACAACCAGCAGGAGAUUCCUAUCUGAGCAUCCAAAGGGGCUGCUAGUCUCACUGUAUGUCUGACUGUGCUGGACUCCACUCAAGACAAACUGUAAAGCAUUUAAAGAGGAUUUGGAGUGAGGACUGAUAUUUAAAGUGACAGGGUACUAAAGGAGCGCUCGCAGAUUUCUACACAUUUCUAUUAGUUGGACUGUGAGGAGCCAUCCGUUACUUUAAAGAACUUAUCCAGUUAUUUAGUCUGACAGACCACGCAAGCAAGUUAGUUAGUGAGGCCCUAUUGCCACCGAAGCUGCUGCAGAAGAAAAGCGCAGGAGCGGAAGGUGGAAUCCCAUAUCCAGGAACAGCACCCGUAACAGCAGCUCCAGGAGAAACGUCUCUAAGAGACUGGAGCAGUUCUAUCGCAAAGUGGAGCAGGAAUCUCAGAGGGACCUGGAGAUGCUGAAUCACCUGAAGGAGCAAAAUCUCCAGGUUCUACACUUGGCCAUGGUCCGGUAGGAAGGAGGGAGACUGGGAAUGUGCUGUUGGUGUGUGUUUGUGUGCACGGCACCAGAAUGACUGCACCCCAAUGAACAGAAGUCUGACCCCUAGAGUGUAUGAGAAACUGAAGCAUCAACCAAAAUAUAAAUCACUUGGUGCUAAGGCCAAGUUAAAGGGCUGAAACAAAAUUCAACUUUAAAUGAAAUUGAAGCAUUAAUACAGUAGCACAGUUUGCAGUUGUUCUUCAUUUAUUUAUGGUUUGCAGUUUUGAAAUAGUCUAGCAUUCUCCUAAUGAACCGCACGGUGUCUUACAAGGAAGUGACACUCGUAUACCCUCUUUAUGAAAUGGACACAAAACAUUUUAAUUGGAUUAAAAGAUCACAAAUAUGUGAUAUUAAACUAA